rnacentral:miRNA from 1 species
ACCUGAUGCCAGUAGCUCCCCUUCCAGAUGUGACAUUAAAAAAAUGUCACAUCUGGAAGGGGAGCUACUGGCAUCAGGUU